CGCUGAAACCGGAGAAAUAAAACGUGCGAGGGGAACGAUAACGACGACGAGAGUCUCCCGAUCGUUUACUCUUCCUGUCCUGUGAACAACACCGGCGUGGGGUUAAUUGUUUGUCAUUUUCGCGAUCGCGUCGCACAUGAGGAUAUCACCAGCACUUUGCACAUAAUACUAUAAAUAUAAGGAGGAAGCCUGAGGCCCUGCAGCAGACUCACAGACGGAUGCAGAGGGGAGGAGUGUGGAGGUGUGUGCUGUGUGUUUGGAGGAGGGACUCCUUCAGUUAGAGAAGUGAGGCGUCACAAGUUCCUGGUUUCCAGUGAAGAAGAAGAGAGGCAGCAGUAAACCAUCAGAGCCUCAUCAUGAAAGUCCAUCACACUCUGAUCUGCUUCUUCUUCCUUUCUCUGCAGGAUGGAAACCCUGAAGUCACCAAUGCUCAGAUUCUUCACUAUGGAGUCAUUGGAGGAGAUUUUAAAGCUGGAUUCUCCUUUAAUUCUCCAGGAACAUGGAAGAUGUUCUGCAGAGAACAAUGUGAAGGAGAAAACAUUCUCAUUAAAACAACUGAUGUCAGAGCUCAAACAGGCAGAUACAGCAUUGAAUAUGAAAACAAUGUUUUAUCUGUGAGCAUCUCAAAGCUGACUGAGUCUGACUCUGGACAGUACAGCUGUGGUUUGGGUGGAUCUUCAUCAUCAGCUCCAUUCACACCGCUUG